CUCGCUCUCUCUCUCCAGCAUCUCACCGCUGCGCCUUGAUGCAGGCGCCCAGGCUCAGCUGAAGUUCCACUCUGUUAGCUCCUGGGAGUGUCGUCAGCGGGAAGUCUCAGGACUGGAGAACAAUGGCUGUGGCUGCACCCCUGAGCUGGCUUCAUCCUCCACAACGUGGUGCCCCUAAGGAACUAGAGGAGAGGAAAAGUCACAGAAUGAGACACAUAGACAAGAAGGCCUUGUGAAGACAGACAGAGGCUGGGGUUAUGCUGCCACAAGCCAAGGAACACUUGCAGCCACCAGAAGCUGGAGGAGGACAGAAACAUUUGUUUCCUGGAGACUUAAGAGACAGUGAAGCCCUGAUGUCACCUUGAUUUCAAAUUUCUAGCGUCCAGAGAAAGAAAGGUGGAAUAAAGAAAUCUGGAGAUAAAGACUGAGAAAAUCUAUUGCUUGUGGACAAGACUUACAAGCAAUACUAAAGGGAGUCAUCUAGGCAAAAAAAAGGAAACAGCAUCAGUAACUUAAAUUACACCAAGUAGUGAAGAGCAUUGGAAAAAAUAAAAAUGUGGGUAAAUAUAAAACGUCAUGUGAAUACAUGUUUUCUUUUUUUCUCUUCAUUUCUUUAAAAAACACAAGUUUGCAUAAAACACUAAUUAUAAUUGUUGGAUUUGUAAUAUACAUAGAUAUAAAAUACAUGACAAUAAUAGUACAAAGAAGAGAAGGAAUAGAGUGAUAUUGGAGAAAAUUUCUUAUCUCUUACCAGAAUUGUUAGUAUUAAUCUGAAUUCGACUACUAAUUUAAGAUGCAUAUUAUAAUAGAAAAAUAAUUAAAAGAAGAUUUAAAUGAUAUACUAAUAAUAUUUAUUUAACAAAAAAAGUAAGCAGUAAAAGAGGAAAACAAUAACAACAAACAUGAGCUGUAUAGAAAGGAAGUAGUGAAAUGGCAGAUACAAAUCCUGCUUUAUUUUAUUACAUAAAUAUUAUUACAUUGAAUGUAUGAUUACAUGAAGUGUGAAUUGACCAAACACUCCAAACAAAAGGUAUUAAAUGCCUUACGUUAAAAUGCAUUAAAUGUGAAUGAACUAAACACUCCACUAAAAAGGCAGAUAUUGUCAGAUUGGAUAUAGAAAGAAAAUGAAAACAAGAUCCAACCAUGAGCUGUCUACAUACUUAAAUUCAAAGACACAAAUAAGUUGAAAGGAAAAGGAAAAGAUACGACAUGGAAAUAGCAAUCACAGCAAAGAGGAAGUGUUUAUAUAAUGCAGAUUAGAUUAACAGACAUAUCACUGACUUUAAGAGAAGAAAUAUUACCAAGGAGGGACAUUUCAUAUUGGUAAAAAGGGUCAAUUCAUCAGGAAGAUAUAAUAACUAAAAACAUAUAUGCAACUGACCAUAGAAUUCCAAAAUCCAUGAAGCAAAAAUUUACAGAAUCAAAAUGGAAAGUAUACAAUUCAAUAAUAAUAAUUGGAGACUUCAAGAAUCCACUCUCAGUAAUUGAUAAAACAAUAUAGAAAAAUAGCAAUGAUUUAUAAAAAUUCAUUAAGACUAUCAAUUGACUUAUACCAAUCAAUAUUUAUAGAAUGUUCUACCUAAUAAUAGCAGAAAACACAAUCUUUUCAAGAGCACAUGUAACAUUCUUCAGAAUAGAUAAUAUGCCAGAUCUUAAAACAAGUUUCAAUAGAUUUAAAAGUAUUAGGAUAGCAGUAUUUAAUUCUUUCUCAUUUCCAAGUAGUAUUCCAUUGUAUGUGUGUGUAUACCACAACUUCUUUAUCC